rnacentral:rRNA from 1 species
UACGGAGGGAGCUAGCGUUAUUCGGAAUUACUGGGCGUAAAGCGCACGUAGGCGGCUUUGUAAGUUAGAGGUGAAAGCCUGGAGCUCAACUCCAGAAUUGCCUUUAAGACUGCAUCGCUUGAAUCCAGGGAGAGGUGAGUGGAAUUCCGAGUGUAGAGGUGAAAUUCGUAGAUAUUCGGAAGAAACACCAGUGGCGAAGGCGGCUCACUGGACUGGUAUUGACGCUGAGGUGGCGAAAAGC